rnacentral:lncRNA from 1 species
UUUACUCUAACCUAAAUCUUAACUCACACACCUACUAUUACCUAUAUAAAGGGAUACAUUCCCUUGAAUAGGUAUCACAAAAUCCCAUAAACUUUUAGGAUAUACACAAAGAGAUCAAAAUAUGGUCGGAUACUUCUUGACAAUCAAAUAGUUCAAAAGGUUGGAGAUUCAAUACAUUCCCAGAAAGUCUACAUCAUACGACAUUCAAGAAAUACGCAGCUUCACCAGGUGAGAAGAAUCGAAUGAGAU